CAGUUUAGCAAAGUUGCACCUGACUUUUUUUUUCUCCACUCACCACCUCGGCUAUGACAUCCCCUUACCUUGCGCUCUCAAUUCCAUUGCGACCAUUCCACAUGCCCUGUGUUCCUCAACAUACAUCUGGGUGCAACUUUCCUAAACUGUGUAUACAUUGGACUUGUUGACUGAUGCCAUGGCAGUGGUUUCUAAGAAGAAAGGAGCAUCUGUGAAACAGAAGAUUGCAGCCAAGGCAGCACUGGUUCACACCUGCCUUGUCUGUCGGAUGCAGACCCGAAGACAUUCAAGCAGCACUUUGAGAGCAAGCAUCCCAUGUCUCCAAUGGUCCCAGUACCGGUUGAUGUGCAGGCAUAAGUGACCACACACACUCAAAUGGACCUAUAGCUGGGACACACGGUGACCACGAUUUGAAUGCUUACAGCUGACACGGAAUGGUGACCCCGAGAAUGACUGGACAUGGGCUGGAUAUUUGUGACAACAACCUAAAAGGGGUGCAGACACACACUAGCACCCCAUUUUAUGUUUAUUCCAUAGCCAAUCAUAUCUCUAGCUAACCCCUUAUUCCACACUAUGCCUUUUAUGCCCUGUGGUCCCUCAACUUCUGACACUUUGUAACUCUCCAUCUUAUAAACCCACACUACCUUCACCCAUUUUCCCUAUGCUGCUUAUUAUCGUAUUAUUCUCCUGAUUUGAUAACAUUUAGACUCAAUAACAUGUUUCAAGGUGCUUACACAUGGGCGGUGGUAAGCGGCAAUUGAACCACGAGAAAAUCCGCCUACCGUGAGUAGAGACCAGUGAUCCAGGUUGUUGUCAGCUUGAAAGUUGUCAUUAAAACAUUGUUUGAUUGGUUGACAAGAUGAACUCUGCUCAUUGGUCAACCAUGCGCGGCGGCAGCUCAGGACUUCCGCUAAUGACAUCUUUUGGUGCCUCGGGCUCCGAGCCAGCUUCGCCUCUCAUGGGAGCGAGCACCAAGAACAGGGCCGCUUGCAAAACUGCUUGCCGCCAGCCGCUCUACUCCAAUUGAAGUCUGUAAACUUUGCCGCUUACCACGGCGUUAUCUUUUUGCGGUGUACUGUUUUUGCUACCUUCAGACUGAAUGCAGUGGUAAAUGUGUUGCUCACAAUUGACAGCCGCAACAUGGACCUGUUAAAUUGACAAGGGUGUUGAUAUAGUUGAGUUUAGGCAUGGCUUCCUUGUUUUGAGUCUGUUAAGUUUGUUUCUCAUUGACCUAGUAUUUUAUAUCAAAUUUAUUUAUAAAGCCCUUCUUACAUCAGCUGAUAUCUCAAAGUGCUGUACAGAAAUACAGCCUAAAA